GAGACACCGAUUAAGCUUGCGACGCCCACCUUCUGAUACGUGACCGCGAGGAUAAUGAUAAUCUGAAAAUGGGAAUCGAUGCGAAAUAACAAAUGUCAACGAAGAUGAACGUAUCCUUUCACGUUACCUGAAUCGGAGUGAUCCAAACGAAAUUGAGAUAAAAGCACAACUCGUCGAACCGGCUGACGUCGUUGCUCAGUAGAUUCACCACCUGGCCAGCGCUGACUUUGAAAAAUGCUGCUCUGCUAAGUCUCAAAAUCUACAACAUAGAGAACAGUGUGAAAAUAAAACCGAGGUACUAUCAGUAACUCUGAAGGACAGUUUUAAUUAAAACACGGAAUAUGUAAUCGUCGAAUAAAUUACGUAAAUUACGAGCGUC